GAGUUUGAUCGUGGCUCAGGACGAACGCUGGCGGCGUGCCUAAUACAUGCAAGUAGAACGCUGAGGUUUGGUGUUUACACUAGACUGAUGAGUUGCGAACGGGUGAGUAACGCGUAGGUAACCUGCCUCAUAGCGGGGGGAUAACUAUUGGAAACGAUAGCUAAUACCGCAUAAGAGUAAUUAACACAUGUUAGUUAUUUAAAAGGAGCAAUUGCUUCACUGUGAGAUGGACCUGCGUUGUAUUAGCUAGUUGGUGAGGUAAAGGCUCACCAAGGCGACGAUACAUAGCCGACCUGAGAGGUGAUCGGCCACACUGGGACUGAGACACGGCCCAGACUCCUACGGGAGGCAGCAGUAGGGAAUCUUCGGCAAAUGGACGGAAGUCUGACCGAGCAAACGCCGCGUGAGUGAAGAAGGUUUCGGAUCGUAAAAGCUCUGUUGUUAGAGAAGAACGUUGGUAGGAGUGGAAAAAUCU
rnacentral:rRNA from 1 species